rnacentral:rRNA from 1 species
GGAGCAUGUGGUUUAAUUCGAAGCAACGCGAAGAACCUUACCAGGCCUUGACAUGCAGAGAACUUUCCAGAGAUGGAUUGGUGCCUUCGGGAACUCUGACACAGGUGCUGCAUGGCUGUCGUCAACUCGUGUCGUGAGAUGUUGGGUUAAGUCCCGUAACGAGCGCAACCUUGUCCUUAGUUACCAGCACGUUAUGGUGGGCACUCUAAGGAGACUGCCGGUGACAAACCGGAGGAAGGUGGGGAUGACGUCAAGUCAUCAUGGCCCUUACGGCCUGGGCUACACACGUGCUACAAUGGUCGGUACAAAGGGUUGCCAAGCCGCGAGGUGGAGCUAAUCCCAUAAAACCGAUCGUAGUCCGGAUCGCAGUCUGCAACUCGACUGCGUGAAGUCGGAAUCGCUAGUAAUCGUGAAUCAGAAUGUCACGGUGAAUACGUUCCCGGGCCUU